rnacentral:lncRNA from 1 species
GUGGCUACACUCGCGGGCUCAGAGGACCUGCGGAGGUAGCCUGGAGACGGAGUCCGACCGGAGGAAGGUUCAGCCCUGCAGAUGGGAGCUUAACCUGCCUAGGAGGGCUGCAAGGCUGCUGUGUCUUCAGCGAGACCCAGAGGGCAGUGAAGUUGGUGCCAUAACAUCAGUGUGAUGACCACUCAUUUUCUUCCAGAGAAUGUGGGCAACCUUGAAUGAUAAAAAUGAAGCCUUGUGAGUGAGAUGCUGAGCAGAAAUAGGCUUCUUACAGGAUCAAAAGGACAUGGGUAAGAAAGCCAUUCCAGAAAAGCAGAAUCAGAGACCAUUUGGGUGAGUGGCCCAACCAGCCGCUUCCACUUUCCUGCUAGUCUGGCUGAACCAGUCUUCACCAAGUAGACAUGGCCAAUGUUUCCAUACCUGUGAGUGUGUCUAGGGAAUGUUACUUUCCAGUCUCCCUGGCUAGGGAUAAUUAAAAGAGGGCAGAUCAGGAAGAGAACAUUAAAUGCACAAUGUCUGCCCUCCAGGGACAGGAUUUUCCUCUGGGGCCAGGAUGUGGGUACAAAUUUUGGGUAGUCCCACUGUCCAAGAACCAUAUACAUUGUGCCCUUGGAUCCUGACAUUGUGACUGGAGAAGGUGAACUGGCAAGAGACCAGAGCUUCCCUGGAUGCUGGAUUGAAGUCAGGAGCCUUAUGCAGUUUUCUGUCAGGUGCCUACAUCACGCAGUGGGACCCUCGAGGGACACUGCUCACAUUUACAGCACCAUGGUCCAUGCCAAGUGAUCCCAUUCAUAAAAUUCCUAGACAUUUUAUUUGUGUACCAUUCAAAUUUGGAAAGCAGUUUUUGUACCUUAUUAUUCCUGAUAGAUAGUGUCAUCUUUCAGUAUUUGUGGAGCUUGGUUCUAGAACCCACUAAAGGUACCAGAAUCCCCAGAUGCUCAAGUUCUUUUUUUUCCCAUUAAGUUUAUUGGUACAUUUUAGGUAUAAAAUACAGUUACAUUCAUCACUGGGAUCUUGUACCUUUACAUGAUGUAUCUUGGUUCUUAUUUUUUCCCCAUUCCCCUGCCCUCCCUUCACCGCCUCCACCCUUCCCUAUUUACAAAGACUUUGUUUCCAUUUUUUUCCUUUUCUCAUAUUUUUUCUUUUCCCUUCUUUCCUUUCCCCUACCCCUCCCACUUCCCCUACUCCUUUAGACCUUUUCUUCCUAUUACACAAUAGCAAUUAUACAUUUGUAAAAAAUUACUAUAUCAAGAUUUAGAGGACAUUAUCACAGAUUUUACAGAAUUUAAAAGGAUAUAGAAAGCAUAUUACAAAAAUCUUUUUUGAAAUAAAUUGGACAACUUCUAAGAAGUACCUUGGAAGACAAAUUAAUGAAACUGACUCUGGAGGAAAUAUAAAAUUUGAAUAGCACCUAUUAAAGAAAGUAUAUUCCUAGCUUGAAAACCUACCUAUAUGACAACAGCAGGCUCAUAUACAUUUUAACUGAUAAAUUAUAUCAAACAUUUGAGGCAGAAAAAAGGAACACUUCUCCCCUCAUUUUAGGAAAUCAACGUUGUGCUAAUCCUAAAACUGGAUAAAGAUAAUAGAAGAGAAAAGUAUGAACAUAAAUAAAAAUUUGUUUAACAAAAAAAACCAUUAGAAGUCAGAUCUGGCAGUAUAUAAUAAGUGGUUUUAUUAUAGGGAUGGCAGUGUGGUUCAGCAUUGGAAGAUCUACCCCCAUAAGUCAUUAUUUUAAGAAAGGAAAGGAAAAAGCCAUAUGAUCCUAUCAGUAGUUGGAGAGAAAGUAUUGAACUAAAUUCUACAGCUGUUCAUGGUAAAAGCUAUCAGGAGAUUAGAAGUAGAACAGAAACUUCUCAACAGAUCAAAGACAUGUACUCCAUACUUCCAGCAAAAACACCUUAUAUGAAUGGAAAACAUACAAUGCUUUCUCCCUAAGGUGGGGAACAAGGGUAGAUAUGCCUACUCUUCAUCUGUCCAUUAAACUUUGAAACCUAGGCCCAAACCAAAAUAGUCUGGCAAUAAAAUGACACAAUUAGGAUAGGAUUGUCAAGGUAGAAGCAAAAUCUUUAUAUGUAGAUGAAGUGAUCAUCUACAGAGAAAAUACUAAGAAAUCUCUAGGAGCCCCUAGAACUUGUAUUUGAAUUUAGCAGGAUUAGAAAACACAAGGUAUAUAUAAAAAUUCAAAUCUAUGUGUACUUGCAAUAAAUGAAGAAUUGGCUAUUGAAAUUUAAAAGUUAUGUAGGAGUACAAAGGACAUGGAAAAGUAAAAAGAAAAAAAUAACAGUAUUGAAAGACAUUUAUUACCUAAUUUUAAGACUUCUUCUAAAGCUACAGUGAUCAGGGCAAUGUUGGGAUAAGGAAAGACAUAGAGAUCAAUGGAAUAAAACAGAGCAUUUGGAAAUAGAACCACACAUAUAUGGUCCAAUGAUUUUUGAAAGAUUAUUUAACAUUAACAUUUUAUAGAACAUAACUCAAGAGCAGAGGAAAAGAUAAUGUUUUCAACAAAUAGUACUAGAACUCCUGGUAUCCGUAUGUGAAAAAUUAACCUCAACCCUUUACUUCCAUACAUAAAAAUAACUUGAAAGGAUCUAUGAACCUAAAUAUGAAAGACUAAAACUAUAAAACUUUAGGAAGACAUUAUAAGGGAAAAUGUUCAUGAAUUUAGGGUAGGCAAGAAUUUCCUAGGAUACAAAAAACAUGAUGUAUAAAAGAAAAAAUUGAUAAAUGAGAUUGCAUCAAAAUUUAGAACUUUAAAAGACAUGGUUAAGAAAAUGAAAAGUAGUCCUUAACUAGAACAUAUUUAUAAUACUUAUACCCUAUUACCAGAAUAUAUAAAGUACUCUUACAGCUCAUUAAUAGACAGCUCAAUUAAAAAGUAGACACAAGAAGAUGACAAAUGGCCAGCACAGUGCAAGGAAAUGUGUGCAACAUUAGAAUCAGAAAAAUACUAAUCAGUACAAUAACAAGAUUGUAUUGUACACUCAUUAGGGAGAUGAAGUUAAAAGUUUUAAAAGAACAGAUGUCAGCUUAGGUGUGAACCAGUUAGAACUUUUGAAUGCUGCUAAUGUGAAUGUAAAAUGAUAAAACCAUUUUGGAAAACAAUAUAGAAAUUACUUUUAUUACUAUUAAGAACCAACAGUUCUGUUCUUAAGUUUUUACCUGAGAGAAAUGAAAACACAUGUUCAUAAUAGAUUUGUACAUACAGGUUGACUGUCCCUUAUUUGAAAUUCAUGGGACCAGAAGUGUUUCAGAUUUUGGUUUGAAAUCCACUUGAUCUGCAAAGAGGAUAGCUACUCCUGCAUUUUUUCGGGUUCUUGUUGCAUGGAGUAUUGUUUUCCACCCUUCAACUUUCAAUCUAUGAGUUUCUUUUUUAAAUUAAGUGUGUUUCUUUUAUGCAGCUUAUUGUUGGAUCUUGCUUCUUGACCCAUUCUGCCAGUCUAUUUCUUUUGAUUGGUGAAUUGAGACCACUAACAUUCAUGGUUAUAACUGAUACAUAUUGACUUAUCAUUGUCAUGACUUUUUCUUUUUGUUGGAUUCUCCCCCUUUACAUUUAAUUUCUUGUCAUGCCAGAUGGGUUCAUUCUGCUUUGCUUCCUGGGGUUGUGAUCUUCAAUGUCUGUUCCUAGGCUAUUGUGUAAAAUUCUUUGGAGUGCUGGUUUGAUAUUCCUGAAGUUCCUAAGGUGCUCUUUGUCAUGAAAAUAUCUUCUCCAUCAAUUUUUGAAGAUAGUUUUUUAGGGUAAAUCAAUCUGGGUUGGAGGCUGUUUUCCUUCAGGGCUUGAAAUAUGUCACUCCAAGCUCUUCUUGCCUUGAGGGUUUGUGUUGAGAAGUCUGCUGUGAUUCUUCUGGGCUCUCCUUUGUAUGUGAUUUGUUUCUUUUCUCUAACUGCUGUAAAACUUUGUUCUUCUGUUGGGUUUCUGGAAUCUCAACUAUUAUAUGCCUAUGUGUAGAUUUUUUUUGAUCAAGGCUAUUUGGAGUCCUAUAUGCCUCAUUUAUCUGUAUGUCAAGCUCUUUUCCCCUGCUUGGGAAGUUUUCUGCCAUCACUUCUGUGAACAGUUUUUUUAUGUUGCCUGCACUCUCUCCUGUUUCUUCAUGGACUCUGAUUAGUCUUAUGUUAUUCUUCUUUGCAUUUUCUAGCAGCUGUUGGAUUGCUUUCUAAUGGUCCCUUACAAUUUUAAAGAAUUUUUUCUUUUCCUGGUCACUAAUUGCAAUCUUAUCUUCUAUAUCUGAAAUUCUGUCUUCACAUUGGCUCAUUCUGCUGUGUAGACUUUCAAUGGAGUUUUUAAUCUCCUGAAAGUCUGCAUCUGUUUUAUGGACUCCAUUUGUUUCCUAUGUUGGGAUUCCAUCAUGUUCCUCAGCUCCUCUAUUUUUUAAUCCAUGUCUGCUCUAGGUUUAUUAAUCAUGUCUUGCACUAUGGGCACAUCUCUGCUGUUAUCUGAGAAAUUAUUUCUGAUUUCAUUUUUUCCAGAUCCUCUUUCCUUGCCAG